rnacentral:rRNA from 1 species
AUGCACGCUGGCGGCGUGCCUAAUACAUGCAAGUCGCGCGAACAGACGAGGAGCUUGCUCCUCUGACGUUAGCGGCGGACGGGUGAGUAACACGUGGAUAACCUACCUAUAAGACUGGGAUAACUUCGGGAAACCGGAGCUAAUACCGGAUAACAUGUUGAACCGCAUGGUUCAACAGUGAAAGACGGUCUUGCUGUCACUUAUAGAUGGAUCCGCGCCGCAUUAGCUAGUUGGUAAGGUAACGGCUUACCAAGGCAACGAUGCGUAGCCGACCUGAGAGGGUGAUCGGCCACACUGGAACUGAGACACGGUCCAGACUCCUACGGGAGGCAGCAGUAGGGAAUCUUCCGCAAUGGGCGAAAGCCUGACGGAGCAACGCCGCGUGAGUGAAGAAGGUCUUCGGAUCGUAAAACUCUGUUAUUAGGGAAGAACAAAUGUGUAAGUAACUAUGCACGUCUUGACGGUACCUAAUCAGAAAGCCACGGCUAACUACGUG